ensembl:lncRNA
AUGGAGAGCUCACUUGCAGAAAGUAUCAUGGCUACUGCUAAAAUGGGAAUUGUGCAUUGUCAUAUGGAACGUCCAUCUGUAAUAGAGAGGAGGCCACAUGAUGCCACCAAUUUUAUGCUGUAUCGAAGUGGAGUAAGAACUAGCACAAACAAGGGAGUAGCACCUAUAAAAACACCUUGCUUGAAUGGGAUUUGGGGAGGAGCCUGUCUUUCUCACUGUGUGCUGACAUAUGUCCUUACCUUACAGGAUCUGUCCCAGCCAUGGAGCUCCUGGACAGACAGCUGCUUAAUUAAAACGUUGAAUUUGUCUUUAUUCUUCUUGUUGCUGAGCAAUGUGAACACCGCCAAGCGACAUGCCGAACCUGAGCCAUGGACUAGUCAGCUGGACCACGCAUCUGCAGAGAAACAGCGGCCCAUCUUCUGCUAGGGGGAGGUCAUGUUUAGAGGAAAGAAAGCCCAAUUCUGGGUCCACUGGGCUGCAUCCGGCCUGGAGCAGGAGCAAUGUCCUGCAGGGAUGGGAUGAUCUGACCCUACAUGGCCAUGGGAAAAGGAUAAAGCUGUCGGUGAUAGUCUAAUCAAUAUCAACCAUCUACCAGUGCAAGAGGAUAUCAAAUCUCUGAAGAGAUCCUUUCCAUCCCUGCCUUCAAACCCUCUAAGAGCAGCAAAGGGAUUUUUCUUCUCACCAGCCUUUCACUAAAUGCUGGGGGCCUUACCUGCUGCUGGGAUGCUAGACCAUUGGAGUUAGGCUAUGUUGGGGCUGGAUCCUGCAGGCUGUAUUGGCUUUUGCUGUUCCUACUGGUAGCUUUGCUUGUGUCCUCACAGCUGAUUUAAGAGCUGGGGAAAAUUUAAUCCUCAGCUGUAGAAGGAAGCGAACUAGAAAAUCCUUUGAAAAUAUCCUUUGGUUUAAUAUUUUGCAACCAUUACACAAGCAAGUUCAUAUUGUUCCAAGUCUAGUUAUAAGAUUAUAGCAAAGAAUGGAGCAGCUUUUCUGACUGAUAUUCAUACAUUUCAAAGUAUGCAUCUUCAAACAUCUCCCACACUGGGAUGAAAUCAUGGUUUCUGUAGUUCUUCAUGGAAAGAACUGUGCCUUCAGGUCGUUGGCGCCCAGUUAUUUCAGAAGCAUGAUGUUUUGCUUCACAGUUCUCAAACUGUGUUAAAAUAAGCAGAAGUUUGAAACAAGUGUUUUAGCCUCUCAGAAAAUUACUUUGGCCCUGGAACAAGAAUUCACUCCAGAACUAAGAUAUAUUUCCAGCAGAAGUUUUUCUUUUGUUUGUUGGGUUUGAGGUGGGAGAGGGUGGUUGGCAGGUUGUUUUUUGAAAUUUAAAAUUCUUGACCAGCCCUAUUCAAGCACCCUACUUGCUCCAGACUAGUAGAUCAGGUAACAAAGCCCAUCCCUUUACAAACAGAGACCCAGAUCAUAUCCCGAAACGCAAGCAUCAAAGAGAAUUUAUCAAGGGCAUCUUAUUUUAGCAUUUACACCACAGGGAAGAAAAAAUAUGCAGCCUUUGUUAGCCUCUUCAAGGACUUCUUCCCAAGCCUCACCAUCCAACUGAUUUGUUACUCCAUUCUAGCAGCCUUAGAUCAUGCAGCAAGAGGUGGACCUUAGGAAACAGCAGCUUGUUCUUAACCAGAGAGUGAUAACACCACUCAGCUCCUCUGCGAAAGACCCAAAAGACUUAUGAUGUCCAUGUGCACAGGCAAAUAGCUGUGAAGCUGUGAUCUUUCUCAAGCAACAGUUUUAGCUAGCAAGUGUACUCUAACAGGAUCGGCUAAUUAUCUCAAAUCCCGUAUUGAUUUAAUAAUUGAAGUUGCUCAGCUGUUAGUGCAUGUGCUGUAUUAUGGGAGUUAUGGCUAGAAUAAAAAUUUCUAGAUGUUGCA